rnacentral:rRNA from 1 species
GCUAAAAGAAGGUUUCUUGCUGAGGCAUCUGUCGAGCAUCGUUUAGAUUUUAUCGCUCUAUCGGAGACGGAUAGAGAUAACUUUGCGCCUCAAUUUCUAAGUACUCUGUCAGGGGGUAUAGAUUUUGAUUGGCAUUGCUUGCCGCCGAGAGGGAGAUCGGGUGGAAUCUUACUCGGCGUUAGGUGCGAAACGCUUGAGGUUCGCAGUGUGGUUAUGGGUGACUUUGCAGUCAAGUUCCGGGUACGGUCGAAGGAAGAUGGGUUUAAUUGGGCCCUGGUUGCGGUAUAUGGGGCUGCGCAGCCCGAGCUCAAGCCCGAGUUCUUGUCUGAUCUCGUUCGGAUUUGUGGUUCCGAGAAGUUGCCUAUCCUGGUGGGGGGUGAUUUCAAUAUUAUUAGAAGGCGUGAGGAUAAGAACAAUGACAACUUUGAUGGCAGAUGGUCGUUCAUGUUCAAUUCGAUUAUUGAAAGUUUGAACCUGAAAGAAAUUGAGCUCUCGGGUAGAAAAUUCACCUGGGCUAACGCGCUGCCAAAUCCGACGUAUGAGAAGUUGGAUCGAGUGUUGGCCAGUGUCGAUUGGGAACAGAAGUUCCCUCUAGUAACAGUCCAGGCCUUGACCCGCGGUAUUUCUGACCACACGCCGUUAUUUGUGGACUCUGGUGAGCCCUCCCACCUGGGGAACAAGAAUGUGUUCUCCUUUGCGAUGGCUUGGUUUGAACGUGAAGGCUUCCUUGAUCUUGUGGCUAGAGAGUGGGCUAAGGAUUCAGGAGGGAAGACUGCGCUUCAGCGCUGGCAGAAUAAGAUUAGGCAUUUGAGGAGUUUCCUGCGUGGAUGGGCUAAGCAUCUUAGCGGGAUUUAUAAGGUCGAAAAGGAAAGGCUCCUUUCCCUUAUUCAGUCCCUGGAUUUAAAAGCAGAAACAACGAUACUGCCGGCCGCGGAGCUUCAUGCCAAGCUUGACGCGGAACUGCGGCUGAAAGAACUUCUUAGGGAAGAAGAGUUGAAGUGGGCAUUGCGGGCCAAGGUCCGGCGAGUAGUCCAGGGGGAUGCGAACACUCAAUUCUUUCACAUGAUCGCUAAUGGUAAGCAUCGAAAGAAGAAGAUCUUUCAGCUUGAGCAAGAUGAGGGUACAAUUGUAGGACAGAAAAACCUAAAAUUGUACAUCACCGAGUACUAUAAGCAGCUGUUUGGUCCUCCAGAAAAGAACUGUGUGUCUCUGGAUGAGUCCAGGGUUGAGGAUGUUCCUCAGCUCACAGCGGUGGAGAAUGAUAUUCUUACGGCUCCUUUCUCCGAGAAAGAGGUUCUGGAGGCCAUUUCGCAAAUGAAAAAUAACAAGGCGCCGGGCCCCGAUGGAUUUCCAGCGGAGUUCUAUAAGAAAUGUUGGCAUAUCAUUAAAGGGGAUUUGUUGCCUUUGUUCAAUGAUCUGUUUGCUGGACAGCUUCAUCUUUUUCAGCUCAAUUUUGGAACGAUCACCCUUCUUCCUAAGAAAACAGAGGCUGUGAGAAUUGAGCAAUUCAGGCCAAUCUGUCUUCUUAAUGUUAGUUUCAAAAUUUUCACCAAGGUCGGGACCAAUAGGCUCACACAGAUCGCACAUGCUGUUGUGCAGCCUACCCAAACUGCUUUCAUGCCGGACAGGAAUAUCCUUGAGGGGGUAGUGGUCCUUCAUGAAACGCUCCAUGAAAUCCACACGAAAAAGCUGGAUGGGGUUGUUUUCAAAGUGGAUUUCGAAAAAGCGUAUGACAAAGUCAAAUGGCCAUUCCUUCAACAGGCCUUACGUAUGAAGGGUUUUGAUGAGGCUUGGCGACGCCAGGUAGAAUCCUUCACACAAAAAGGAAGUGUUGGAAUUAAAGUAAAUGAUGAUAUAGGGCAUUAUUUCCAGACACACAAA